CUUUGACCUCGGAUCAGGUAGGGAUACCCGCUGAACUUAAGCAUAUCAAUAAGCGGAGGAAAAGAAACCAACAGGGAUUGCCCCAGUAACGGCGAGUGAAGCGGCAACAGCUCAAAUUUGAAAUCUGGCUCUUUCAGAGUCCGAGUUGUAAUUUGCAGAGGGCGCUUUGGCGUCGGCAGCGGUCUAAGUUCCUUGGAACAGGUCAUCAUAGAGGGUGAGAAUCCCGUAUGUGGCCGACUGUCUUCGCCGUGUAAAGCCCCUUCGACGAGUCGAGUUGUUUGGGAAUGCAGCUCUAAAUGGGAGGUAAAUUUCUUCUAAAGCUAAAUAUUGGCCAGAGACCGAUAGCGCACAAGUAGAGUGAUCGAAAGAUGAAAAGCACUUUGGAAGGAGAGUCAAAAAGCACGUGAAAUUGUUGAAAGGGAAGCGCUUGCAGCCAGACGUGCCUGUAGUUGCUCAUCUGGGGUUCUCCCCAGUGCACUCUUCUAUGGGCAGGCCAGCAUCAGUCCGGGCGGUUGGAGAAAGACCUGUGUCAUGUAGCUGUCUUCGGGCAGUGUUAUAGGGCAGGUGGAAUGCAACCAGCCUGGACUGAGGUCCGCGCAUCUGCUAGGAUGCUGGCGUAAUGGCUGUAAGCGGCCCGUCUUGAAACACGGACCAAGGAGUCUAACAUGCCCGCGAGUGUUUGGGUGGAAAACCCGAGCGCGUAAUGAAAGUGAAAGUUGAGACCUCUGUCGUGGAGGGCAUCGACGCCCGGACCAGACCUUUUGUGACGGAUCCGCGGUAAAGCGUGCAUGUUG
rnacentral:rRNA from 1 species